UUGAACGCUGGCGGCAUGCCUUACACAUGCCAGUCGAACGGUAACAGGUCUUCGGACGCUGCCGAGUGGCGAACGGGUGAGUAAUGCAUCGGAACGUGCCCAGUCGUGGGGGAUAACUGCUCGAAAGAGCAGCUAAUACCGCAUACGACCUGAGGGUGAAAGCGGGGGACCGUAAGGCCUCGCGCGAUUGGAGCGGCCGAUGUCAGAUUAGCUAGUUGGUGGGGUAAAGGCCUACCAAGGCAACGAUCUGUAGUUGGUCUGAGAGGACGACCAGCCACACUGGGACUGAGACACGGCCCAGACUCCUACGGGAGGCAGCAGUGGGGAAUUUUGGACAAUGGGCGCAAGCCUGAUCCAGCAAUGCCGCGUGCAGGAAGAAGGCCUUCGGGUUGUAAACUGCUUUUGUCAGGGAAGAAAUCUUCUGGGCUAAUACCCCGGGAGGAUGACGGUACCUGAAGAAUAAGCACCGGCUAACUACGUG
rnacentral:rRNA from 1 species